UCAAGCGGUGACAGAUCCAUCAUUUCCUCUCUCUACAGCCAACAAUAAUUCUCACCUUAUUCUCGCUAAUCUUGGUGAAAGAGCAGCUUCACCAGCAAUUUCUCGCCUAUCUAAAUCCACGGCAAAACCCUCUCGCCAAUCUAAAUUCACGAGCAAUUUCUCGUCAAUCGUGGCAUGGUUUCGCCGCGGGUCACCCACAGUAACACCGAUACACACGCACAGACGGGGAAGCCCUAUAUUUCUUCACAGAAUCGUGCCGCCAUCUAUGUAAUUUCCGGCGAGCAGCAACACCCAAAAGUCAUCACCGCCGAAUCGCUCUGUUCUCGGUUGACGUUGCCUCGUCAUUCGGUUGACGGCUCCGCCACGGGUCAGAGGUGCGACUCGGCUGGGAAGCCUAUCGCCGCAUUCCUCCGUCCUCUCGCUCAUUACCAAGUGUCGGCGAGGGGUUUUUCUAAUUCGAUGGGGAAGAAAGUAGACUCCGAUGAAAUAUCGGCAUGGCGUUGCUCUGCUCUGUGAUAGGGGGCGACAAGGCAAGGGUGGUUCAGCCCGAUUCAAGGCAGAAAAUGGGCAGAAAAUGACAUAAAUUAAGAAAGUAGAAUAUAAAAUGACAUGGAUUUAAAAAAAUAGAAUAUAAAUUACACUGUGGCAUCCGGCGAGCCACGUCACAUUUCUGGCGAUCGGAAAAUAAAUGCGGGAUAUAUUUGAUAAAACUCUGAUUCUUUGAGGGUUUAGAGAACAUUUUGAAACUUUCAGGGUAUUUUUGAUAAAGCGGGUAUAGUUCAAGGUUUAAUAUGAUAUUUACCCUA